rnacentral:lncRNA from 1 species
GUGGUAUGAUUGCCAAUGAGACAACUCUCCACAAGAGACCAAAUGACACAGAAAUUAAUAACUAUAGGUCACCGUACGGCCUUCAACAAUGAGCAAAGCCCAUACCGCAUAGUCAGCUUUAAAAGGCCCCGAAAUGACAAAUGUAAAACUAUUCAAACGAGAAAACUAACGGCCUAAUUUAUGUACAAAAAAUGAACGAAAAACAAAUAUUUAACACAUCAACAAACGACAACCACUGAAUUACAGGCUCCUGACUUUGGACAGGCACAUACAUACAGAAUGUGGUGCAUGUGGGGUUAAACAUGUUAGCGGGCGCCCAAUCCUUCCCCUGACCUGUCACAGUACAACAUAAGAACGAACUAUAAAAAUCAGUUGUACCAUGAGAGACAAGAAAUAUGUCAUCUGUCUUUGUAUGGUCAUGAUAGUUUUAGAAUGUUCCCUUUUCAUUAACAUUCUAUUUAAUGAAAUAUUCUUAUUCUUAUAUAGCA